AAGUACCAGCUGAGUCGGUUUGGGCAAGCAGCGGAAACAGCUCUUAAAUGCGGAGUUCAGGUGUUUCUGAUACGUUUCUUGUAAAAAGCUUUGUUUUUGAGACUUCUCUUGUCUUAAGAGCUGAAGUGAAGUCUGUAUGGAUUUGACGUUUCGUCUAUCUGAAGUUUACCAGUCAUCAUCUGCUUUUGCCUCAGACUGACGGUGAUCCUGAUGACCCUGAAUUCUGAAUAGUCCAGCACCUUCAUUCUUGUGCCGUUUUUGAAGCUCACUAUAGUCGCUAGCAGAGAUCUUGUGAUGCCAUCAGCAUUGUCAGGGAUCCGGUGCCAGCUGAGGACCUUAAAGAUGAACGGGAACGCUGACAGACCAUGCUCUUCAGGUCAGCUAACAGCACAGGCCAUCCAUUCCUGUGUCCUACUUCCAGACACACACUGCCCUACCUCUCAUUUGAGCGAGGCCCCUUCCCAAGAGCAUGAGCAUAAAAGAAAAAGGAAUCGAAAACAAGAGAAAGUAAGAAAUCAUAUAACAAGAACAGCUUUGUUAACUGUAUAUUCAAUAUUUACUAAUGGUUUAGAGUUCUAUCUUUUUAAUAAACAUAGAUUAAAAAGCAAAUGUUUAAAUUGAACAUAAGGUAGAGUUUGAUUUCCAACUCCAAUUCGACAAAAUUGACCCCUCUGCUGUACAUGUCCCAGAUCCCACAGAUUCCACACCUGACACUGCUUCUCGCCAAAUGCACAUUCACAGCUCUGUUGAGGUUCUCUUGGGCUGGAGUCUCUUUUGAGUGCACAGUUUUUGUGAAGGUCACCGGCAGCUACAGAUACCUAACAUAUUUAUUAAUUUGAGAAGAGAGGCUUAAGCCACGUUUCCACUGCUGGAACUUUACCCAGGAACUAGGGACUUUGGCCUGGUACUCGGUGUGUUUCCACCACAGGAACCAGGAACUAAAAGUUCCAGG